UACGUAGGGGGCAAGCGUUGUCCGGAAUCAUUGGGCGUAAAGAGCGUGUAGGCGGCCCGGUAAGUCCGCUGUGAAAGUCCAGGGCUCAACCCUGGGAUGCCGGUGGAUACUGUCGGGCUCGAGUCCGGAAGAGGAGUGUGGAAUUCCUGGUGUAGCGGUGAAAUGCGCAGAUAUCGGGAGGAACACCUAUGGCGAAGGCAGCUCGCUGGGACGUUACUGACGCUGAGACGCGAAAGCGUGGGGAGCAAACAGG
rnacentral:rRNA from 1 species